rnacentral:rRNA from 1 species
CCUACGGGUGGCAGCAGUGAGGAAUAUUGGUCAAUGGGCGCGAGUCUGAACCAGCGAAGUAGCGUGAAGGAAGACUGCCCUACGGGUUGUAACCUUCUUUUAUAAAGGAAUAAAGUGAGGCACGUGUGCCUUUUUGUAUGUACUUUAUGAAUAAGGAACGGCUAACUCCGUGCCAGCAGCCGCGGUUAUACGGAGGAUCUGAGCGUUAUCCGGAUUUAUUGGGUUUAAAGGGAGCGUAGAUGGGUUGUUAAGUCAGUUGUGUAAGUUUGCGGCUCAACCGUAAAAUUGCGAUUGAUACUGGCAGUCUUGAGUACAGUAGAGGUAGGCGGAAUUCGUGGUGUAGCGGUGAAAUGCUUAGAUAUCACGAAGAACUCCGAUUGCGAAGGCAGCUUACUAAACUGCCACUGACAUUGAUGCUCGAAAGUGUGGGUAUCAAACAGGAUUAGAUACCCUAGUAGUC